rnacentral:rRNA from 1 species
AGUGGCGCACGGGUGCGUAACACGUAUGCAACCUACCUUUAACAGGUACAUAACAGCGCGAAAGCGGUGCUAAUAUACCAUGUGGUUAUUGAAUGGCAUCAUUUAAUAAUUAAAGAUUUAUCGGUUAAAGAUGGGCAUGCGUCCCAUUAGCUAGUUGGUGAGGUAAAGGCUCACCAAGGCAAUGAUGGGUAGGGGUUCUGAGAGGAUAUACCCCCACACUGGUACUGAGACACGGACCAGACUCCUACGGGAGGCAGCAGUAAGGAAUAUUGGUCAAUGGGCGAGAGCCUGAACCAGCCAUGCCGCGUGCAGGAAGACGGCCCUAUGGGUUGUAAACUGCUUUUGUCAGGGGAUAAACCUACCGACGAGUCGGUAGCUGAAGGUACCUGAAGAAUAAGGAUCGGCUAACUCCGUGCCAGCAGCCGCGGUAAUACGGAGGAUCCGAGCGUUAUCCGGAUUUAUUGGGUUUAAAGGGUGCGCAGGCGGAUUGGUAAGUCAGGGGUGAAAUUCUACGGCUCAACUGUAGGCGUGCCUUUGAUACUGCCAAACUAGAGUUAAGUUGGAGUGGGCGGAAUGUGUUGUGUAGCGGUGAAAUGCUUAGAUAUAACACAGAACACCGAUCGCGAAGGCAGCUCACUAAACUUAGACUGACGCUCAUGCACGAAAGCGUGGGGAUCAAAC